GGAAGUGCUGUAGCUCAGGAGUAAGGUGUCAGCUUUGUAUGCAGAAGGUCCCAGGUUCAAUCCUUGACAUCUCCU